AACGCGAAGAACCUUACCUGGGCUUGAACCGCACAGGACCAGCUUGAGAAAUCAGGCCUUCCCGCAAGGGACCUGUGUAGAGGUGCUGCAUGGCUGUCGUCAGCUCGUGCCGUGAGGUGUUGGGUUAAGUCCCGCAACGAGCGCAACCCUUGUCUCAUGUUGCCAGCGCGUUAUGGCGGGGACUCGUGAGAGACUGCCGGGGUCAACUCGGAGGAAGGUGGGGAUGACGUCAAGUCAUCAUGCCCCUUAUGUCCAGGGCUUCACACAUGCUACAAUGGCCGGUACAAAGGGCUGCGAUGCCGUGAGGUUAAGCGAAUCCUUUAAAGCCGGUCUCAGUUCGGAUCGGGGUCUGCAACUCGACCCCGUGAAGUCGGAGUCGCUAGUAAUCGCAGAUCAGCAACGCUGCGGUGAAUACGUUCCCGGGCCUUGUACACACCGCAUAC
rnacentral:rRNA from 1 species